rnacentral:rRNA from 1 species
UACGGGAGGCAGCAGUGGGGAAUAUUGCACAAUGGGCGCAAGCCUGAUGCAGCCAUGCCGCGUGUAUGAAAAAGGCCUUCGGGUUGUAAAGUACUUUCAGUCGUGAGGAAGGUGUUAAGGUUAAUAACCUUAGCAAUUGACGUUAGCGACAGAAGAAGCACCGGCUAACUCCGUGCCAGCAGCCGCGGUAAUACGGAGGGUGCGAGCGUUAAUCGGAAUUACUGGGCGUAAAGGGCACGCAGGCGGUUAAUUAAGUUGGAUGUGAAAUCCCCGGGCUUAACCUGGGAAUGGCAUUCAAGACUGGUUAGCUAGAGUCUUGUAGAGGGGGUAGAAUUCCAUGUGUAGCGGUGAAAUGCGUAGAGAUGUGGAGGAAUACCGGUGGCGAAGGGCGGCCCCUGGACAAAGACUGACGCUCAUGUGCGAAAGCGUGGGGAGCAAACGAGGGAUUAGAUACC